rnacentral:rRNA from 1 species
AUGAGAGGGAAGGCUCCUACAUGCAUCCUCACAGACCAGUGCCCGACAAUGGCUUUGGCGAUCCCAGAUGCUUUCAAUAACACAAUACACAAGCUGUGCCGCUGGCACAUUAUGAAGAAGUACAGGGAACACCUCGCAUACCUGUACAACCUGCACGAAGACUUUAAGGAUGAAUUCACAUCAAUCCUCAACUGGCCCCUCAUGCCAACUGAGUUUGAGGCUGCCUGGAAAAGACUCAUGGAUAAGUACAACCUCCAUGAUGAUGCCACGAUGGUGGGCAUGUGGAACGAGCGUGAGAGAUGGAUAUCAGCCUACUUCAAAGAAAUUUUCUGCGCCAAAAUGACAUCCACACAACGAAGUGAGAGCAUGAACUAUGUGCUCAAGAAGAACUUCGUAAGUGAGAGACAAAACCCACACCGGUUUGUCAGCCAGGUAAACUCCUGCGUCAAAACCAGGAGGCAGACAAAGAACCAGGAGACAAUGGGUAACCGGGUAUAG